GCCGGGCAGUCUUCACGCGCUGGCGUGCAGGCCGCGCAUGCGUUGAGGGCCACACGACCCCGCAAUGGCCCCGGUAGGAGUUUGGGGGAAGUCGCGCGGUGUGUCCUCCUCACCUGCAGUAGGUGUCGGGGGUGGCAGCCGUGGCGGUCUUGGGCGGAGUCCGGGGAUUAUUUGGAGCUGGGAUUACCGAGAAACCUCGUGGCUCGCUGAGUGGCCCGUGGCGGUCGGCUGCCAUCUCAGCCCAGCGAGGGCUUUUCCACCCGCACGUUGCCAUUCGUCACCUGCCGUACUAGUUGCAACCCUCAUGCCACGUCUGCAGAAAUAACCAUAACCUUGCUGCCUGCUGAGGCUGUUUAUUGAGAGCCCACCGAGUCCCAAGCGCUGUGCAUAAAUAGCUUCAAUUCUUAAAUCUUUGCAAGUUUCUGGACCAGCAGAGCUGAGGGUGUCCAAGCUUGUUCUGAGGCAACUCAACUGAGGUCAGCCCCAUGGCUAUUCCACAUGCUUCAAAUGAAACUUCCUAUUUGCUGCCUCCAAACAAGGAAGACUGGGAAGGGCAGGGCAUUCCUGACUUUGUCUACGGGCAGGAGGAACUCGUGAUGGAAGGGGUUCAGUGGCCAAGGGGCGCGCUCAGCCUCCUGAACACGCCGCCACUGUCUCACUUUGACUCUGCCCUCUGCUCAGCCUGGAGGCAGCGGAUGGAGCUGGGGCUCUUCCGCUACCCACUGGGGGAGCUGCCGACCCAAACCCUCCCUGGGACCGUGGGUUUUGUGGCUCAGCUGAACGUGGAGCGAGGUGUGCAGAGAAGGUGCCCCCAGAACAUCAAGAGCAUGAGGCAGGAGUUUGACCCUGAACAGUUUAACUUCAACCAGAUCCGGCCAGGAGAGGUCCUCUUUCGUCUGCACCGGAAGCGGGACUGCCCCGGCACUGUCCAGCAAGAGGACAUCCUGGUGCUGAUCAACGUCAGCCCCUUGGAGUGGGGCCACGUGCUGCUGGUGCCCGAACCUGCCAGGGGGCUCCCCCAGCGCCUGCUGCCCGGGGCGCUGCGGGCCGGGGUCGAGGCUGUACUGCUGAGCUCACACCCGGGCUUCCGCGUGGGCUUCAACAGCCUGGGUGGCCUGGCCUCGGUGAACCACCUCCACCUGCAUGGCUACUACCUGGCGCACCGGCUGCCCGUGGAGGGGGCCCCCAGUGAACCCCUGGACCCUCGGGGCCGUCUGCAUGUGCUCCAGGCCCUCCCAGCUCGCGGCUUCCUCUUUUACACCAGUAGGCCAGGGCCUGACUUGGAAGCCUUGAUAAGCAGGGUGUGUCGGGCCACUGACUACCUGACUGACUGUGAGAUUGCGCAUAACUUGUUUGUCACCCGGGGGGCCCCUCCUGGAAAGACAUCAUCUUCCUCAGCUCUCUCGGGAGUCCGGGUCAUUCUGUGGCCCCGGAAGCCCAGCUUUGGGAUAAAGGAAGGUCAGGCAUUCAACGUUGCCCUCUGUGAGCUGGCUGGGCACCUCCCGGUCAAAACGGCCCAAGACUUCAGCAGCCUGACAGAGGCAGCCGCUCUGGCCCUCAUCAGAGAAUGUCUGCUGCCCCCAGCCCAGGCAGAAGAUGUGCGGGCUGCGCUGGUGGCCUUGAUAGCCCAGGAGGAAGAGUAAUCCUCCCAGCAGUAUUCUAACUGAUCCGGAGAACUGUCCAUCGUGGUGCUGUGAGCGCAUUCAUGAAUGCCUUCUCACCGGUUUCAGCAUAAGGGGAGGGAUAAAGAACCGAACCCUGGCCAUCAAUCUGACCAACUGCAAGUAUGAGAGCGAAGCACCUAGCUCAUCACUCAAAUGACUGGGCAUCAGAGGAUAUUUAGGGUUGCAGUUUUCACUCUGAAGACCGUUCUCGCCAUUUGCUCGCAGCCCCUGGAUCUCGUUCAGUUCAGUUCAGUCACUCAGUGGAGUCCAACUCUUUGUGACUCCACGGACUGCAACAUGCCAGGCCUCC